rnacentral:snoRNA from 1 species
CCUCUGUAGUCAAAGAGGUGCCCUUGGUUGUUGGUACUCUGGGCACACCAGGCUUGCAGAGAGAGCAGCAGCGAGGAAGCCGAGGCACGGCUGGCCGGGGCACCGUGCGCAAUAUUCCUCCCACAGCUGCCACCCUGUUGCCACGGAGGUAAUGACUUCUCCCGUGUCAUUAUUGAUCUAUCAACAGUAAGAGCAAUUUUGCAGUGUGAUAUUGUUUAGCAAAUAGAGUAAUGUCUGCUGAACACUGAAAAACUGCUAUAAAA